rnacentral:rRNA from 1 species
UNUGGCUUAACUGGGGGCGUGCGGUGGNUACGGGCUGACUUGAGUGCGGUAGGGGAGACUGGAACUCCUGGUGUAGCGGUGGAAUGCGCAGAUAUCAGGAAGAACACCGGUGGCGAAGGCGGGUCUCUGGGCCGUUACUGACGCUGAGGAGCGAAAGCGUGGGGAGCGAACAGGAUUAGAUACCCUGGUAGUCCACGCUGUAAACGUUGGGCACUAGGUGUGGGGGCCACCCGUGGUUUCUGCGCCGUAGCUAACGCUUUAAGUGCCCCGCCUGGGGAGUACGGCCGCAAGGCUAAAACUCAAAGGAAUUGACGGGGGCCCGCACAAGCGGCGGAGCAUGCGGAUUAAUUCGAUGCAACGCGAAGAACCUUACCAAGGCUUGACAUGCACGGCGGCACUGCAGAGAUGUGGUGGCAUUUAGUUGGUCGUGUGCAGGUGGUGCAUGGUUGUCGUCAGCUCGUGUCGUGAGAUGUUGGGUUAAGUCCCGCAACGAGCGCAACCCUUGCCCUAUGUUGCCAGCACGUGAUGGUGGGGACUCGUGGGGGACUGCCGGGGUUAACUCGGAGGAAGGUGGGGAUGACGUCAAAUCAUCAUGCCCCUUAUGUCUUGGGCUUCACGCAUGCUACAAUGGUUGGUACAGAGGGUUGCGAUAUCGUGAGGUGGAGCGAAUCCCUUAAAGCCAGUCUCAGUUCGGAUUGGGGUCUGCAACUCGACCCCAUGAAGGUGGAGUCGCUAGUAAUCGCAGAUCAGCAACGCUGCGGUGAAUACGUUCUCGGGCCUUGUACACACCGCCCGUCACGUCACGAAAGUUGGUAACACCCGAAGCCCAUGG